rnacentral:rRNA from 1 species
CAGUCGCCGCGGUAAUACGAAGGGGGCUAGCGUUGUUCGGAUUUACUGGGCGUAAAGGGCGCGUAGGCGGACUGAUAAGUCAGGGGUGAAAUCCCAAGGCUCAACCUUGGAACUGCCUUUGAUACUGUUUGUCUUGAGUUCGAGAGAGGUAAGUGGAACUGCGAGUGUAGAGGUGAAAUUCGUAGAUAUAUGGAGGAACACCGGUGGCGAAAGCGGCUCUCUGGCUUGUAACUGACGCUGAGGCUCGAAAGCGUGGGGAGCAAACAGGAUUAGAUACCCCGGUAGUCCCUGUCUCUUAUAC